rnacentral:sRNA from 1 species
AAACCAAAAAAGAUGUGUUAAACUAAGUUCAUAUUAUUAAUGUAUUAACGGAUUCACAUAUUUUUAGAGAUUAUAUGUAUGCGUCACUAUAUAUAAUUUGUAAAAAUAUGUGAUUUUUUUAUACUUUAUAGUAAAAGUAAAAUUUAGGAGGUACCACAUGAGUACAGGUACAGUAAAAUGGUUUAAUGCAGAAAAAGGUUUUGGUUUUAUUACAACAGAUAACGGAAAUGACGUAUUCGUUCAUUUUUCAGCGAUCCAAGGAGAUGGUUUCAAAUCAUUAGAAGAAGGUCAAGUUGUAAGCUUUGAUAUUGAAAAAGGUAACAGAGGCGAACAAGCGGCUAACGUUAUAAGAUUAUAAUUAAG